CAUCUGUCCCACACUUUGUACUGC
rnacentral:siRNA from 1 species